rnacentral:lncRNA from 1 species
UUACAUAGAGAUAGUCACAAAUAAUAACUUAUACAGAUUUGAUCACAAAUAGUCACACUUUUUAACUUAUCCCAUACUAAUCGAAUACCUCCAUCCCACCACGCUCAACCAUCGUUAGCACCAUGUAAGUCUCCUCCUCCACAGAAAACCACCACAUCACCCAAAUUGCCUCCAUCCAUACAAAUGACACAUAUAGAUUUCCCUAAAAAUGAAUAUGGUUUUGCGCCACCACCUCUAUACAUUCCGCUGGAGCUUCUCUCAAAGGCAAAAGAGAUUGGCCAAAUCUUUUGCAAUCGCCACCACCUCCACAGUAAAAAAGGUAAGAAGAUCCCCAAUUGACUGUAUAACAUCCUAUCGAAGCAAAAAUU